UGACAGAGUAGCUAAGCUAGAAAAUGGAGAAGCCAGAGUCAAUCACAUCCAAGCUUUCUGACUCCCACGUUCUGGACUGUUUCCACCAGGUGACACUGACUGUCAGCAUUAGCAGCAUUUCUGCCUUGGUUCUAUGUGUUCACACUGCAGUUUCUACCUUCGGUGACGGCCACCCAGGAACUGAAUGAGUCGGAGGGACGAGAACUGCCUUCUCUUUUAUUUGAGACUGAUGCCCAUUUCUGAUACAGGCAACUUCGGGCUCUGCCCUGAACUUUACAGUAGGUAAGCAGAGAAUGUGAC
rnacentral:lncRNA from 1 species